UACGAGGGGGGCAAGCGUUGUUCGGAAUUAUUGGGCGUAAAGGGUGCGUAGGCGGUUCCGCAAGUCCUGUGUGAAAUCUUCGGGCUCAACUCGAAGUCUGCAUGGGAAACUGCGGGGCUUGAGUGUGGGAGAGGUGAGUGGAAUUCCCGGUGUAGCGGUGAAAUGCGUAGAUAUUCGCAAGAACACCAGUGGCGAAGGCGGCUGCCUGGCCCAAUACUGACACUCAGGUGCGACAGCGUGGGGAGCAAACAGG
rnacentral:rRNA from 1 species